rnacentral:rRNA from 1 species
GAUGAACGCUAGCUACAGGCUUAACACAUGCAAGUCGAGGGGAAACGGCAUCGAAAGCUUGCUUUUGAUGGGCGUCGACCGGCGCACGGGUGAGUAACGCGUAUCCAACCUGCCCAUCACUUGGGAAUAACCUUGCGAAAGUAAGACUAAUGCCCAAUGACAUCCCACGAAGGCAUCCGAAUGGGAUUAAAGAUUUAUCGGUGAUGGAUGGGGAUGCGUCUGAUUAGCUUGUUGGCGGGGUGACGGCCCACCAAGGCAACGAUCAGUAGGGGUUCUGAGAGGAAGGUCCCCCACAUUGGAACUGAGACACGGUCCAAACUCCUACGGGAGGCAGCAGUGAGGAAUAUUGGUCAAUGGGCGAGAGCCUGAACCAGCCAAGUAGCGUGCAGGAUGGCGGCCCUAUGGGUUGUAAACUGCUUUUAUAAGGGAAUAAAGUGGGUCACGUGUGACUUUUUGCAUGUACCUGAUGAAUAAGGACCGGCUAAUUCCGUG